UACAGAGGUCCCAAGCGUUGUUCGGAUUCACUGGGCGUAAAGGGUGCGUAGGUGGCGGGGUAAGUCGGAUGUGAAAGCUCGGAGCUCAACUCCGAAAUGGCAUUGGAAACUACCUUGCUCGAGGGUUGGAGGGGGGACUGGAAUGCUUGGUGUAGCAGUGAAAUGCGUAGAUAUCAAGCGGAACACCAGUGGCGAAGGCGAGUCCCUGGACAACUCCUGACACUGAGGCACGAAGGCCAGGGGAGCAAACGGG
rnacentral:rRNA from 1 species